rnacentral:rRNA from 1 species
AUUGAACGCUGGCGGCAGGCCUAACACAUGCAAGUCGAACGAGUGGCGGACGGGUGUGAAAUGUCUGGGAAACUGCCUGAUGGAGGGGGAUAACUCCUGGAAACGGUAGCUAUAACCGCAAACCAUUCGCUUAGCCCAGAUGGGAUUAGCUAGUUGGUGGGGUAACGGCUCACCAAGUCGACGAUCCCUAGCUGGUCUGAGAGGAUGACCAGCCACACUGGAACUGAGACACGGUCCAGACUCCGACGGGAGGCAGCAGUGGGGAAUAUUGCACAAUGGGCGCAAGCCUGAUGCAGCCAUGCCGCGUGUAUGAAGAAGGCCUUCGGGUUGUAAAGUACUUUCAGCGGGGAGGCGUUACCCGAAGAAGAAGCAACGGCUAACUCCGUGCCAGCAGCCGCGGUAAUAC